ensembl:lncRNA
GCAACAAAGAUGCAUUUGUGCAGAAUGCAAUACUUUUCCAUGUCGUCAUUCAACGACAGAGCUGCUAUGAUCAGUUAGUUGAGGGUUUGAAGUACUACGAGGUUCUGCCACUCCUGAAAGAAAGGCCUUGCCUUAGGGUCCUUCUUGAUAUGCCCGAAGAACCCAGUGAUGUCCCAGCAGAUGUUGUGGCUACCCUCCUGAAACCCAACUACUCUGUUCUGGGAAGUAACAAAAGACCAAGAGAGGAGUUAAUGGUGGUUAAGUUCAGAGAGUUUCUUCACUGUGUACAAG